UCCCUGGUGGUCCAGUAGCUAAGGCUUCAUGCUUGCAAUGCAGGGAUCUAGGUUCAAUUCCUGGUCAGGGAA
rnacentral:tRNA from 1 species